UGGACGCCAUAAAUGAUUGAACACGCGGGAAAAGAGGGAACAGUUGGGGCGUCCUCUCCCUCUCGAGUGGGAUGUGCGGGGGAGAACAUAUAAAGAGAUCGGAGAGUACAGCUCAAAUUUCUCAAGAGAGCUCGGAUUACUUGUUCGACAGUACACAGAUCCGGACUGUCCUCAAUGGUCAAAAGUACCAAAUGCCUCGAAAGAAAGAAUACUUGCACAUUUGGAAGAUGAUUUGUUUGAUAUUGGGCGUACUAGAUAUGGAGAAGGGCAUAUGCCUGGGAUCUUGAGAGGCAUUGAUACUUCGUGUGCUAAAAAGUAUUCUGACUGGAAGUACGAUAUUAAAGAGCAUUUAACGAUUAAUGGGCCACAAAAUCGUUAUGGUGGUUGCACGGAUACGCAGUGGCAAAAAGCAAUUGAAUUUUUCCGACGCCCAGAAAUUACGAAACGUUCUGUGGUCAACAAGGAAAAUAGAAGGAAACUGAAAGAGCUUAGCUAUGGAGGUUCU